CUACGGGAGGCUCCAGGCGCGAAACCUUUACAAUGCACGCAAGUGUGAUAAGGGAAUCCCAAGUGCUCAUGCUUAGCAUGGGCUUUUGCCAAGAGUAAAUAUCUUGGCGAAUAAGUGAUGGGUAAGACUGGUGCCAGCAGCCGCGGUAACACCAGCGUCACGAGUGGCAACCGUAUUUAUUGGGUCUAAAGCGUCCGUAGCCUGUUUGAUAAGUCUUUUGUGAAAUCGUUGAGCCUAACUUAACGUUGUGCAAGAGAUACUGUCAGACUUGGAAUUGGGAAGAGUCAGAGGUAUUCUGUGGGGAGCGGUAAAAUGCUAUAAUCCUCAGAGGAACACCAGUGGCGAAGGCGUCUGACUAGAACAACUUCGACGGUGAGGGACGAAAGCCAGGGGAGCAAAACGGAUUAGAUACCCCAGUAGUC
rnacentral:rRNA from 1 species